AGAGAGGCGUGCUAAAGUCUGGUUGAAGUUGUGGAUUUCUCUCUCCUUGUAGUGCAAUCAGUUUUUGCUGUUUGGAAGCCCUGGUGAAUUGAACUCUGAUCCCUCUCACAGCCCUGAAAUCCUGCCUCUCCCACCUGCCCUGCUGCCUCAUGAGCUCCAAACCCCACCUGCCUCCCAGGACUGCUGCCUGAGCUGCCUGCAGGCUGUUCUCCACAGCAGAGGGACUGGUCUUCAUAAGGAUCUUCGGUGGCUCACUCCUCCCACCUCAACCCGUGCUCAGGCCUCUGCUGAAGUCCCCCUGAGGGAGAGGAGGCCUGUUUGAACACCUUCUCCAAAAUAGCACCCCCACCAUGCCCCCCUUGCCUGGCUCUGUUUUUCUUCCCAGCUCCUUUCUUUGAAGUACACAUACUUGGGUUUUUAGUUCAUGAUCUCUGUCCCGCAACUAGAACGCAGUUCUCCAGUGAGCGGCGUGCUCUUAGCCUGCACCAGCGCUGACGAUGCCGUUCUGCUUGCCAGUCGUGUGAGUGCAAGAGCUAUUUGGGGCAUGAGUCAAUGAACAGGGUACUUUCAUCCCCAAGGCGAAUUACAGGGUGAGUCUAAGAGAACAGAGCCUAAUAAGAUACACUCCUCGUGGGCUGUGGCUGUGGCUCAGCAGUAGAGCGCUUGCUUAGCACGCUCACGAGGCCCUGGGUUAGAUCCUCAGCAGCACAUAAAAAUAAAUAAAUAAAAAUAAAUGUAUUGCAUCCAUCUACAACUAAAAAAUAAAUAUAUAUAUAUA